UACGGAGGGUGCAAGCGUUAUCCGGAUUCACUGGGUUUAAAGGGUGCGUAGGCGGGUAUUUAAGUCAGUGGUGAAAUCCUAGAGCUUAACUCUAGAACUGCCAUUGAUACUAUUUAUCUUGAAUAUUGUGGAGGUAAGCGGAAUAUGUCAUGUAGCGGUGAAAUGCUUAGAUAUGACAUAGAACACCUAUUGCGAAGGCAGCUUACUACGCAUAUAUUGACGCUGAGGCACGAAAGCGUGGGGAGCAAACAGG
rnacentral:rRNA from 1 species